rnacentral:lncRNA from 14 species
CUCGAUCUUGGGUUUGGCGCCCACCUUUGGAGAUGGAAUGUGCUGCACACACAUGUCCACAAAGCCUGUGGAGGAGGAAGAGGAAGCCAUCACUAUCACUGGUACCCAUUCUUAGUAGGUAAGUGAGUAGAAGGAACACGUGGACUCAACACAGAAGCUAACACUUCUAGGGAAAUCUAUUUCCUAUGAGGAGAAAACACACUUUUGGAGUUAGACUGAUGUCAAGAAAGUUUAGAAGCAGGUCUUAGUAGGACACAAUUCCUUAUAAUCUAGCUCACAAAAAAAUUAAAGACUCUGUGAUGGUUUGCAUAUGCUUGGCCCAGGGAAUGGCACUAUUAGGAGGUGUGGCCCUGUUAGAGUGGGUGUGCCACUGUGGGUGUGGGCUUUAAGACCCUCAUCCUAGCUGCCUGGAAGCCAGUAUUCUGCUAGCAGCCUUCAGAUGAAGAUGUAGAACUCUCAGCUCCUCCUGAACCAUGCCUGCCUGGAUGCUGCCGUGUUCCUGCCUUGAUGAUAAUGGACUGAACCUCUGAACCUGUGAGCCAGCCCCGAUUAAAUGUUGUCCUCUAUAAGA